CGUGACAACCGCCGCGACGUCCCGAUAGGCACUCAUUACCCCGAAUGCCGAUCGAAACCCCGCAAGGCUUAGCAUCAGCUUCUGCAUCUCCCCAGUGAGCGACAGUUAUUAAAUCUCACAUUUCAAAAAAAAUCAUAAGUCAUUUCCAAAUCAAAAUAAUAAAAUAUUACUUUCUGGCUCACAGGGGCAUUUUCGUCAUUUUUCUUCGAAAAUACUGAAACUCGCCAAAAACAUGGUGUAAAAGCUAAAUAUAUUCAUACAUAUUUUAAAUUAAAUAACUGAAGAAUAAAAUUACUUUUACAGUGACACGUGGGCCCCCAACUGACUAAAAAAAUGUAAGAUUACGAACCCUUACUUUCUAAGAUACAACUCCGAGAUUAAUUCUCGUCUUAAUCAACUAUCAACAAAUUGUCCUGAGCCUGAAAAAUGUAUAGAAAGAAGGGGUGAGAUUAUAAAAUACCAGUGAGUAGACAGACAUCAUCAAAAUAAUCUAAAACCGAGUAAUAGGAGACAAUUAAAAUAAUUCAUCUCAACCCAUAUAAAUAAUUAGAUUUCAUCCAAUUACUCAACAUGGCUUAUGCACUUUUCAAAAACUUGGCCCUUGCCAAAAAUUCAUUCUCGGGGAUACCCCGCGAAGGCAUCUUACCGAGACCGCCAAGGCUGUUUAUUGUCACACACACAAACACAUUUCACCUCUGAUAACACAGCCGUUCCUCGGCGUUGACUGAGUCCCAAUUUCACGUGGUGGCCAACGUGAAGUGUACUCAAAUCCUACCUCGGGAGUUAUCCUACGCGCCUCUCCAAUUGAGGUAAGCUCAAUAAUUGGGAACUGUGCCCCUCUAAUUAGGCUGUCCCACGGAACCCCCGUCACUGCAAUGCCUCAAUUUCUUUUCCAAUCCCUCAAUUCACCAAGCACAACUAAUUAACACACAAUUAGGCAAAAUUAUCUUCACUUUUCUUCUUGGAACUUUCGGCUAUUGAAGGUUCAUGGGGAAAAUGGAUUCUUUUCUUGUUGUUUUGUUUCUAAACAUGUUUAACUAAAUCUAAACACCAACAUAACUCAAAAUCAAACAAUUCCAACAUCUUUCUCUCUCCAUACCCAUUUUGACCAGCCAUAAUUUCAUCAUGAAAACAUGUAAUUUAACCAUGGAAAUUAAGGAAAAAUGCAUGGGUAAGGUAAAUCACUAGCAAAAUCAAAGAAAUUUUACCUUUGCUUGAUCAAAUCCUUGAAUUCCAACACUUUCUCUUUGAUUUUUCCCACCUAGGGUUUGUUCUUCCUUGGUUUCUCUUCUCUUCUGGUUUGGCUGAUCACUAUGGGAGAAAUGGGCUGAUUUUUUUGCCUUUUUAUAAAGAAAUAAUAAAAUAAUAAAAACAUGACACAUGGCAUUUCCUUAUUGGCUCAAAUUUUAAAUAUUUGACUUUUAAUUCUUUAAUUCUCCACCACACAUUUCUCAUGUUUAUCCAUUUCCAUGAUGAAUAAAAUCCCUUGGUCUUGACAAGUGUCGGGGGUGAAAAUUUACCGAUUUGCCCCCGGGGUGGCAAAAUUACCAUUUCACCCUUAUACUCCAAAUUAUACCGAAAUUAAAAUUUUUCACUUCUAAACUUCAAAUCAUACUCCAAUACUUAAAUCAUACUCCAAUAAGUCAAAUGGACCAAAAAAAUCUUUUUUAAAAAUUCCCAUUUUGUCCCCAAGUGGCAAAUGACCAUUUUGCCCCUAGAUAGUGAAAAUUCCGGUUUGACUCCAAAUUGAUCCUCGAACUCCGAAUUACCAUUUUGAGUCAUCCCUGAACUGUGAAACUCUUAAUUUCACCUUAAAAUUCCUAUUUGAACUAGUUCGAGGCUUAAUCGACUCAAUGGUACCAUUAGGGGCAAUAUCAUCUUUUAACGAUUCCUCGAACUUUCUAAAUAUGCAAACAUUCUAUUGAGGAUGUAAAUGACGUCGUAAUUAUUUUAUGGAAUAGGGUUUGACAACACUACCCCCAUAAAAAUAAAAUUUUGUCCUCUAAAUUUCACUUAUCAACUCAAAGAAAAGAUAGGGGUAUUAGCUUUUAUCCAAUGUUCAACAUCUCAUGUCAUCUCCUUCGUUUGAGCAUUCUUCCACAAUCCUUUAACUAUUGAGAUGUUCUUUUCGUUGCUCUACCUACAUCACUCAUCAUACAUGAAAUUUAAAUCUUGAACCACUUAGGAUCAUUCUUCACUUUAGUUAUCCAUAGUACUAAUCCCUACACAUGUGGGGUUGCACUUUCAUUCUCAUCAAUGCCUCAAAGAUUCAUCUUUCAUGUCUUAUGCAUUUUUGAACUCCAAUUUCCACAAUACAUUAAGAAAAUUCCAUAGCGAUAUUCUACAUAAACUCAUUUAUUAUAUUAUCCUUAAAAGCUUUAUUUAUACUCUCAGCACUUAGUUUUACAUCUCUUAUCAUUAUCUUACAUUCCCACUUAACUUUUCAUUCACUUUCUCUAGGUUAGACUCGUGCUUCAUCUUCCAUUACCGUAAAAACUUUUGUUGAUGCACGAGUCUGUGGUCUGGAAAGUGGGUAUACUGGGGUGUUACUCUCCACAUCAAGCCAGAUAGCUACUCCCUGCCUCGGUUGUGGUCCAGAGGAAUCUCUCAUCUGCAAGUCCGUACGAACUGAUGAAGAUAGAGCAGCUACAGUGGCCUAUCCUAACUGUGGACAAUUAGUUUUAAAGUGACCCGUCUGGCCAUAAUGAAAACAUCGCAAAGGCCCCCAACACACCCCACCAUGAAAUCUUCCACAUUCUCUGCAUUUGUCAGAACCUCUGAAACUCUUUUCAAAAGUAGUCACUACAUAUCCGCUGAAUCUCGGAGGCCUUUGCUGCAUUUGUGAAAAUGAUGGUCGGGAGGAUGUUACCGAAACAGAAGGAGCACUCCCUGAAACAAAUGAGCCUUUGCUCCUUUUUAGUGGCUAACUGGAGGACAUAUUUGGAUUUUUCCUCUUUGCCAACUCUGCUCGCAUUCUCCUAUUUUCAUUUGCGAGCUUCUCAACUCUUAAGGCCAUUUGUACUACCUCUUUAUGAGGCUCCUUACCUGUCAUAGUCAUUCGCUCUCUUAUCUCAUUGCGGAGCCCUUCCUCGAAAUAAUCGGCCUGAUCCUGUUCAGUCCUUACUAAAUCGGGCACAUAAGACAGCAGCUCAUUAAAUUGAGUCUCAUACUCCUCUACAGUUAAAUUCUCCUGCUUCAGACUCAGAAAUUCUCUCUUCUUCUCUUUUUGAUGGAAAUGGGUAUAAUAUUGACUAUCAAAUUCCCUCAGAAAGUCUGACCAAGUUAGGAGAAUAGUGGAACGAGACUUCACCGAAUUCCACCAUGUACAGGCUCUCUUCUCCAAUAACCUCGUAGCCACUAUCAGCUUCAUCUCAUCCUCCAAUCUCAUAUCGGAAAGUGUCUCCGAAACUUGAUUAAUCAAGUCCUUCACUACUGUGGCGUCCAACUCACCCACAAAGGACACGCAACCCAGUUGUCUAGCUUCUUUCAGCUUUUUAGAAAUAGAGACAUCAUGUGCCAAUGGAAUUGAAGAAGUAACUGGUGGCACUACAGGUGAGACCUGACUAGUCUGAGCCUGACUAGACAUUGCGGUAAAGAAGGCUACCAUUGCUUGAAUUACCUCAGGAGACAUGGGAGGAAUGCCAGUAGGUGGCGGAGGAAUCUCGAUCGGUUCAGCAGCAAGUGCCGCUCGAAAAGGGGACGCAGUCGAUUUCUCUCCGUUAAAGUCUGGCUGACCCUGCCUAAGACGACCUCUGCCCCUCUUAGCUGAUCUAGUAGGGAGUGGGCACUCACGUCGAGGAGGCAUGAUAAUCUAAAAAGCAAACGAGGCAAGUUUAGGUAAUCUCAGACUCUAUAUACAUGCAACUUUACCUAAUCCAACUUAACUUAACUUAGUUUAACUUAACCCGGGGCCACGCAGUGUUAGUGUGAAUUCUUAAAAUAACUAUAAAAACCAAAAACUUUAAAACCAUGCUUUGUUAACCAAAAGCUCUGAUACCAAUCGAAUUCGACUCAACCCCUCAAGGCAUAAUGGCAUCCAAUGGUACCUAUCAGAGCACUCGGCAAGAGGUGCACUUCACUCCGGCUACCACUUAGGGAAUUGCGAAGCAGUCCCUUCCCUCCUCUUCCAAGCUCCUAGGCGGAGAGUCAUACUUCGUCAUAGAUCAUAUGCGAGAGUUCCCAGGAAUAGGGUUAUCUUUCCCUUUGCUCUGAUACCAAUCGAAUUGUCACGACCCGAAACUCCCAUCGAGCCCGUGACAACCGCCACGACGUCCCGAUAGGCACUCAUUACCCCGAAUGCCGAUCGAAACCCCGAAAGACUUAGCAUCAGCUUCUGCAUCUCCCCAGUGAGCGACAGUUAUUAAAUCUCACAUUUCAAAAAAAAUCAUAAGUCAUUUCCAAAUCAAAACAAUAAAAUAUUACUUUCUAGCUCACAGGGGUAUUUUCGUCAUUUUUCUUCAAAAAUACCGAAACUCGCCAAAAACAUGGUGUAAAAGCUAAAUAUAUUCAUACAUAUUUUAAAUUAAAUAACUGAAGAAUAAAAUUACUUUUACAGUGACACGUGGGCCCCCAACUGACUAAAAAAGAUGUAGGAUUACGAACCCUUACUUUCUAAGAUACAACUCCGAGAUUAAUUCUCGUCUUAAUCAACUAUCAACAAAUUGUCCUGAGCCUGAAAAAAUGUAUAGGAAGAAGGGGUGAGAUUAUAAAAUCCCAGUGAGUAGACAGACAUCAUAAAAAUAAUCUAAAGCCGAGUAAUAGGAGACAAUUAAAAUAAUUCAUCCCAACCCAUAUAAAUAAUUGGAUUUCAUCCAAUUACUCAACAUGGCUUAUGCACUUUUCAAAAACUUGACCCUUGCCAAAAAUCCAUUCUCGGGGAUACCCCUCGAAGGCAUCUUACCGAGACCGCCAAGGCUGUUUAUUGUCACACACACAAACACAUUUCACCUCUGACAACACAACUGUUCCUCGGCGUUGGUUGAGUCUCAGUUUCACGAGGUGGCCAACGUGAAGUGUACUUAAAUCCUACCUCGGGAGUUAUCCUACGCGCCUCUCCAAUCGAGGUAAGCUCAAUAAUUGGGAAUCGUGCCCCUCUAAUUAGGCUGGCCCACAGAACCCCCGUCACUGCAGUGCCCACUUUAUAAUCCACCAACCAAUAAAAUCACAAUAGUAUGACAUGGCUCACUUAACACAUUCAAGGCAAAUCAAAAGCAGUUCACAUAUUCUUGAAAUCAUAAAAAAAACCAGUCAUACCCACAUUUAUCAUAAGCCAUUUAAUGUAAAAUCAUAGAUAAACAACACAAUCAUAGUAUAGGUCUUCAAUUACUCUAUUUUUGAAAUCAUUAUUAAAUUUGCAAAAAUUUUAUAAAAUCUCAUUUUCUCAUAAAACACAAUAAUUUUCCAAUUAAACCAUUUUUUCAUAAAAUCACACAAUUAAAUAAAUCUACUCUAGAUAAUUAAGACGAUAGUAAGUUUACUCACAGUUCUAGGAGUCGAUAUACUCCUAUUUUCAGUCCGCGGGUACAGUCCUUUACCCGUAUCUAAUGGCUCACCACCUAGCCAUAAUCCAUGGCACAUAUUUCAAUUAAAUUGUGUCUAACAGUCAUAAGCUAUUUCAGGCUCGAUAUAUAUGCAUGAUAUGAAAUGAAAAAUGCACAGGUAGCCAUCUAGACCCGGUAUUGACCUAAGUCGAUUUUUCAUCCAAUAAAUUGGCCAAUGCGUCCAAUUUCACUCCAACUUUCUCCAUUUCUUUUCCAAUCCCUCAAUUCACCAAGCACAACUAAUUAACACACAAUUAGGCAAAUUUAUCUUCACUUUUCUUCUUGGAACUUUCGGCCAUUGAAGGUUCAUGGGGAAAAUGGAUUCUUUUCUUGUUGUUUUGUUUCUAAACAUGUUUAACUAACUCUAAACACCAACAUAACUCAAAAUCAAACAAUUCCAACAUCUUUCUCUCUCCAUACCCAUUUUGACCAGCCAUAAUUUCAUCAUGAAAACAUGUAAUUUAACCAUGGAAAUUAAGGAAAAAUGCAUGGGUAAGGUAAAUCACUAGCAAAAUCAAAGAAAUUUUACCUUUGCUUGAUCAAAUCCUUGAAUUCCAACACUUUCUCUUUGAUUUUUCCCACCUAGGGUUUGUUCUUCCUUGGUUUCUCUUCUCUUCUGGUUUGGCUGAUCACUAUAGGAGAAAUG
rnacentral:lncRNA from 1 species